CUCUUCUCCUCUCCAAAUCUCAUUGUUAAUAUUAAAGAUCUUCUCUCCGGUGUUCGACGACUUCUCUCCGGUAACCAAUUCCGACGAUAUCAAAGACGUUCCGGCGACGAGAUCGACGAUGCUCCGAUGAACAAUUACAAGAUCGAUGAUGCUCCUGCGACUCUCCGACGAAAAGGAGUGUCUUUUCCCUUUUCUCUAAUCUCCAUUUCUUUCUCUCUCUCUCGUCGUUCCUCUGCGAUUCUGAGAUUCCCUUUAAAAGCUUUGAUCCUUCCUUUCAGAAUCAUAGUAGCGUAAUGGCUUUUUGAUUUCCUUUUUUUUUUUAUAAUUUGACAGAAAAAUUCCCCGCCGCCGGCAGAUGGCCAAGUUGUCACCAUCCUCACAAUAUCCUUCGAACUUGGUGGAUUGCUGGUGGUUUCUUCUCGCUAGGGUCUCAACACCAACAUAAAAUCAAAGGAUCUGAUUUUGUUCGGUCUUAAUCGAUCUCCAAUUUUGACUCGCAUUGGGAAUCGAAUAAUUAGAGGAUAGAUUAGGAUAGUGGGGGUCAGGGGAAGGAAGAAAUGGGGAAAAUUGUGGAGAAAUUGGGAAGAUGCUUGAAGACGUGUUUUUCAUGGUAGCCAUGUUGGUUUCCCUCCUAGUCUCCUCCUUGUCUGUCCUUGUUUCCAUCGUCGACGUCUUCGUUCCCACUUUUUUGCUUUCCAGCUUUACUUAUUUGACCUGCUACACCUUCAACGACCAUCUCAGCCGUUACAGCUUCAAGAGCUCUCACUGAUAUUCCUCUCGUCUCCCUCCUCAGUUCUUUCCUCGUCAUCUGUGUGUAUUUGCUAUCUGAUGGACCUGCACUCUCUCACGGACCUUACCUCGGAACUGUCUCCUUGAGAAACAUUGUUCAGAUUGUGCUUACUUGUCAUGGCAUGGGGCUAUUCACAGGGAUUUGAAGCCUGAGAACUUUCUGUUGCUGAACGAAGAUGAGAACUCUCCUCUCAAAACCAUUGACUUUGGUCUCUCCGAUUUCUACAAGCCAGGAGAUGUGUUCAAGGAUAUAAUGGGUGAUGCUUAUUAUUACAUAGCACUAGAGGCUUUGAAAAGGAAGUAUGAAUCAGAAGCUGUUAUUUGAAGUUAACCCUUAAAUGAUUUAUAAAAGGUUUAUAAAUUCUGAAAAUGGUCCAUAAACCUUUGUAAAUCAUUUAUUAAAGAUUUAUCACUCUUAUAAACACUUAUAAAUUCUUUGUAAAAAUGUUAUAAAUCAUUUAAAAUGA